GAUGAACGCUGACAGCAUGCUUAACACAUGCAAGUCAACUUGAACUUCGGUUUGGGUGGCGGACGGGUGAGUAACGCGUAAAGAACUUGCCUCACAGAUAGGGACAACAUUUGGAAACGAAUGCUAAUACCUGAUAUUAUGAUUAUAUGGCAUCGUAUAAUUAUGAAAGCUAUAUGCGCUGUGAGAGAGCUUUGCGUCCCAUUAGCUAGUUGGAGAGGUAACGGCUCACCAAGGCGAUGAUGGGUAGCCGGCCUGAGAGGGUGAUCGGCCACAAGGGGACUGAGACACGGCCAUUACUCCUACGGGAGGCAGCAGUGGGGAAUAUUGGACAAUGGACCAAGAGUCUGAUCCAGCAAUUCUGUGUGCACGAUGAAGUUUUUCGGAAUGUAAAGUGCUUUCAGUUGGGAAGAAAAAAAUGACGGUACCAACAGAAGAAGUGACGGCUAAAUACGUG
rnacentral:rRNA from 1 species